UACAGAGGUCUCGAGCGUUAGGCGGAAUCACUGGGCUUAAAGCGUGUGUAGGUGGAUGCCUAAGUACCUUGUGAAAUCCCACAGCUUAACUGUGGAACUGCUUGGUAUACUGGGUGUCUUGAGUCACUCAGGGGCGAGCGGAACAAAUGGUGGAGCGGUGAAAUGCGUAGAUAUCAUUUGGAACACCAAUGGUGAAAACAGCUCGCUGGGGGUGCACUGACACUGAGACACGAAAGCCAGGGGAGCGAACGGG
rnacentral:rRNA from 1 species